rnacentral:rRNA from 1 species
AAUAGCCGCAGUACUCUGACUGUGCAAAGGUAGCAUAAUCAAUUGGCCUCUAAUUAAGGUCUGGCAUGAAUGAACGCAUGGGUAAUGACUGUCUGAGGGAUGUUAAUUGAAAAUUAUUAAGUUGGUGCAAAUGCCAACAGGAUUAAAAAAGACGAGAAGACCCUAGAAACUUAUAGUUGAUUUUGCUGGGGCGGCAGAAUUGCAUAUAACCAAUUUUAAUUUACGUGAAGCGACGCAGAAAGAAAAAGUUACUCUAGGGAUAACAGCAUAAUUUUAAUAGUUUGUGACCUCGAUGUUGGACUAGGGAUGUUACCUUCUAGAAGAAGGUAAUUAUGGCUCUGUUCGAGCCCUUAGCCCCUACGUGAUCUGAGUUCANACGGGACG